CCUACGGGAGGCAGCAGUAGGGAAUCUUCCACAAUGGGCGAAAGCCUGAUGGAGCAACGCCGCGUGGGUGAAGAAGGUCUUCGGGUCGUAAAACCCUGUUGUUAGAGAAGAAAGUGCUUGCGAGUAACUGUUCACGUUUCGACGGUAUCUACCCAGAAAGCCACGGCGAACUACGUGCCAGCAGCCGCGGUAAUACGUAGGUGGCAAGCGUUAUCCGGAUUUAUUGGGCGUAAAGGGAACGCAGGCGGGCGUUUAAGUCUGAUGUGAAAGCCUUGGGCUUAACCGGGGGAGUGCAUGGGAAACUGGGAGACUUGAGUGCAGGAGAGGCGAGUGGAAUUCCAGGUGUAGCGGUGAAAUGCGUAGAUAUAUGGAAGAACACCAGUGGCGAAAGCGGAUUGCUGGACUGUAACUGACGCUGAGGUGCGAAAGCGUGGGUAGCAAACAGGAUUAGAUACCCUUGUAGUC
rnacentral:rRNA from 1 species